rnacentral:lncRNA from 1 species
GGUAAUCCACUCUCUCCAAGAAGAAUAAGACUCCAAUAUUAUAACAGAAGAAGUAUCAGUUUAGAGGAGGGUAAUCCGCAACCUCUAAAAAAUGCUAGUAUACCUUCAGGUAGAGGGAUAAUCCACACUCUACUAAGAAAGAACUAGCUCUGAUAUCUCAAGUUAGUGUAGUCUCGACAAACUGUCACGGACACGAAAUACAGACUUGAAAUCUAA